AUGAAAACAAGGGGAGAGGGCGUACUGUAGUACGACGCCGAAGGAGCAAGCGAUAACCGUGAAUCUCUCAGGCAAAAAGACUCUUGUUGGACG
rnacentral:ncRNA from 2 species